AACGAACGCUGGCGGCAUGCCUAACACAUGCAAGUCGAACGAGACCUUCGGGUCUAGUGGCGCACGGGUGCGUAACGCGUGGGAAUCUGCCCUUGGGUUCGGAAUAACAGCGAGAAAUUGCUGCUAAUACCGGAUGAUGACGUAAGUCCAAAGAUUUAUCGCCCAAGGAUGAGCCCGCGUAGGAUUAGCUAGUUGGUGAGGUAAAGGCUCACCAAGGCGACGAUCCUUAGCUGGUCUGAGAGGAUGAUCAGCCACACUGGGACUGAGACACGGCCCAGGCUCCUACGGGAGGCAGCAGUGGGGAAUAUUGGACAAUGGGCGAAAGCCUGAUCCAGCAAUGCCGCGUGAGUGAUGAAGGCCUUAGGGUUGUAAAGCUCUUUUACCCGGGAUGAUAAUGACAGUACCGGGAGAAUAAGCCCCGGCUAACUCCGUGCCAGCAGCCGCGGUAAU
rnacentral:rRNA from 1 species